UACGUAGGGCGCGAGCGUUGUCCGGAAUUAUUGGGCGUAAAGAGCUCGUAGGUGGCUUGUCGCGUCUGCCGUGAAAUCCCGUGGCUUAACUGCGGGUCUGCGGUGGGUACGGGCAGACUAGAGUGCGGUAGGGGAGACUGGAAUUCCGGUGUAGCGGUGAAAUGCGUAGAUAUCGGAAGGAACACCAGUGGCGAAAGCGACUUCCUGGACCAAUACUGACGCUCAUGUGCGAAAGCGUGGGGAGCAAACAGG
rnacentral:rRNA from 1 species